GACGAACGCUGGCGGCAGGCUUAACACAUGCAAGUCGAACGCCCCGCAAGGGGAGUGGCAGACGGGUGAGUAACGCGUGGGAACAUACCCUUUUCUACGGAAUAGCUCUGGGAAACUGGAAUUAAUACCGUAUACGCCCUACGGGGGAAAGAUUUAUCGGGGAAGGAUUGGCCCGCGUUGGAUUAGCUAGUUGGUGGGGUAAAGGCCUACCAAGGCGACGAUCCAUAGCUGGUCUGAGAGGAUGAUCAGCCACAUUGGGACUGAGACACGGCCCAAACUCCUACGGGAGGCAGCAGUGGGGAAUAUUGGACAAUGGGCGCAAGCCUGAUCCAGCCAUGCCGCGUGAGUGAUGAAGGCCUUAGGGUUGUAAAGCUCUUUCACCGAUGAAGAUAAUGACGGUAGUCGGAGAAGAAGCCCCGGCUAACUUCGUG
rnacentral:rRNA from 1 species